UACGUAGGGUGCGAGCGUUACUCGGAUUUACUGGGCGUAAAGCGCAUGUAGGCGGCUUACUCAGUCUGAUGUGAAAUCCCUGGACUCAAUCCAGGAACUGCAUUGGAUACUGGUAGGCUUGAGUAUGGGAGAGGUGAGCGGAAUUCCAGGUGUAGAGGUGAAAUUCGUAGAUAUCUGGAGGAACAACAGAAGCGAAAGCGGCUCGCUGGACCAUUACUGACGCUGAGAUGCGAAAGCGUGGGGAGCAAACAGG
rnacentral:rRNA from 1 species